UACGAAGGGGGCUAGCGUUGCUCGGAAUGACUGGGCGUAAAGGGCGCGUAGGCGGAUGGCACAGUCAGAUGUGAAAUUCCUGGGCUUAACCUGGGGGCUGCAUUUGAUACGUGUGAUCUAGAGUGAGGAAGAGGGUUGUGGAAUUCCCAGUGUAGAGGUGAAAUUCGUAGAUAUUGGGAAGAACACCGGUGGCGAAGGCGGCCUGCUGGGCAGUUUUGCUGACACUGAGGCGCGACAGCGUGGGGAGCAAACAGG
rnacentral:rRNA from 1 species